rnacentral:rRNA from 1 species
CGCGAGUACUGGUCCGGCUGGGUCUUUCCUUCUGGGGAACCCCAUGGCCUUCACUGGCUGUGGGGGGAACCAGGACUUUUACUGUGAAAAAAUUAGAGUGUUCAAAGCAGGCCUUUGCUCGAAUACAUUAGCAUGGAAUAAUAGAAUAGGACGUGCGGUUCUAUUUUGUUGGUUUCUAGGACCGCCGUAAUGAUUAAUAGGGAUAGUCGGGGGCGUCAGUAUUCAGCUGUCAGAGGUGAAAUUCUUGGAUUUGCUGAAGACUAACUACUGCGAAAGCAUUCGCCAAGGAUGUUUUCAUUAAUCAGGGAACGAAAGUUAGGGGAUCGAAGACGAUCAGAUACCGUCGUAGUCUUAACCAUAAACUAUGCCGACUAGGGAUCGGACGGUGUUUCUAUGAUGACCCGUUCGGCACCUUACGAGAAAUCAAAGUUUUUGGGUUCUGGGGGGAGUAUGGUCGCAAGGCUGAAACUUAAGGAAAUUGACGGAAGGGCACCACAAGGCGUGGAGCCUGCGGCUUAAUUUGACUCAACACGGGGAAACUCACCAGGUCCAGACAAAAUAAGGAUUGACAGAUUGAGAGCUCUUUCUUGAUCUUUUGGAUGGUGGUGCAUGGCCGUUCUUAGUUGGUGGAGUGAUUUGUCUGCUUAAUUGCGAUAACGAACGAGACCUCGGCCCUUAAAUAGCCCGGUCCGCGUCUGCGGGCCGCUGGCUUCUUAGGGGGACUAUCGG